CACAUACUCCCUCCGCCCCAAAAUUCUUGUCUUACAUUUGUCUAAAUACGGAUGUAUCAAGUCACGUUUUAGUAUUAGAUACAUCCGUAUCUAGACAAAUCUAAGACAAGAAUUUUGGGACGGAGGGAGUAUUAC
rnacentral:pre_miRNA from 1 species